rnacentral:rRNA from 1 species
UUGGAGGGCAAGUCUGGUGCCAGCAGCCGCGGUAAUUCCAGCUCCAAUAGCGUAUAUUAAAGUUGUUGCAGUUAAAAAGCUCGUAGUUGAACUUCGGGGUUUACUUAUUGGUCAGGCUUAAUUGUCUGUACUGGUGAGAUGAAUCUCUACCUUCUGAGGAACUUUCAUGUCAUUUAUUUGGUGUGAUUGGAAAUCAGGACUGUUACUUUGAAAAAAUUAGAGUGUUUAAAGCAGGCUAACGUCUGAAUACAUUAGCAUGGAAUAAUGAAAUAGGACGGACUGAUUCUAUUUCGUUGGUUUCUGGGAUCACCGUAAUGAUUAAUAGGGAUAGUUGGGGGCAUUAGUAUUCAAUUGUCAGAGGUGAAAUUCUUGGAUUUAUUGAAGACUAACUACUGCGAAAGCAUUUGCCAAGGAUGUUUUCAUUAAUCAAGAACGAAAGUUAGGGGAUCGAAGACGAUCAGAUACCGUCGUAGUCCUAACCAUAAACUAUGCCGACUAGGGAUCGGACGAAGUUAAUUUUAUAAUGACGCGUUCGGCGCCUUACGGGAAAC